rnacentral:lncRNA from 1 species
UUUUUUUUUUUUUUAAUUCAGCUUGGAACUUUUUUCCUGGGUAGUAUUUGGGAGAGGGAAAGGCUGUACUAUAUAUUUAUUUCUAAAUGUUUUGACUGGGCAUUUUUCUUUUAAUGAAAUAUGUGGACUGCUCUAGCAAACCCUAUUUUCAGCUACUAUUUGAAUAUUCUUGAACACCACCACUGAAGAGUUUCAUAUACACCAAAUAAUGUCUCAUCUCUAUAGUACAGGGAAUAUAAAAUUGGUUUCCUGUGGUCAUGAUCAAGAUAGUAGUAUUAUUACACAAGAAACUUGGUCUGCAGUCUGGAAGCUUGUCUGCUCUAUAGAAAUGAAAAUGCAGCAUGAAGUUGACAUUGUGGAAAUGAAAGUAAUUGGGUAUUAGAAAUCUGAAAGUACUGUCAUCUAAAAGCAAUUGUGAUUUUAUUGUAAUUGGUUGUCACUGUUGUACGGUGUCUAGAAUUAAAGAAUACAUGUAAACUUUCAUGGUAUUUAGCCUUUCUUAAAUUUUUUUAAAAUUUAAACUUUCUAACCUAUGUAUUCAACUUCUGUAUUUAUAUUUAAUCAGUGGUUCAUGUUAUAUAAUACACCCUUAACUAGUUAAAUGGAAUGUUGGUAUGGUACAGAGUACCAUAUUGCUAAGAAAACUGUCUUAUAAAAGAUGUAUAUGUGUGAAGACAUGAAAGUUUAAUGUACAGAAUGGUUGGAGAAAUGCCUAUGGUGAAUUAAAGCUUCAUAUCUGCUUUCUGAA